rnacentral:lncRNA from 1 species
UUACCCAAGCAAGCCUGGGCAAUGGCGGGCGCCCCUCCCCCAGCCUUGCUGCGGCCUUGCAGUUUGAUCUCAGACUGCUGUGCUAGCAAUCAGCGAGACUCCGUGGGCGUAGGACCCUCCUAGCCAGGUGCAAGAUAUAAUCUCGCGGUGCGCCGUUUUUUAAGCCGGUCCGAAAGCGCAAUAUUCGGGUGGGAGAGACCCGAUUUUCCAGCACUGCAAGAAUGGACUAAUACGCUAUGUGAAGACAAAGGGGAUGUCUGCAAGCCAGGACGAGUGCGUCUACCAGAAACUGAGUUCUGCUGGACUUUGAUCUAGGACAUCCAGCCUCCAGAAUGGAAUGUGCCAUAUGUGGAGACCUGCAUGGAAAGGAACUGAGGAUGCUCUCUCACUAAAAGCUAGAAGGAACUGAGGCCCUCAGUCAACAGUCUACAAGACACUGAAUCUUGCCAGCAGCCAAGCAGUGAGCUUGAAAGCAGAUCUAUCAUCAGCUGAACCUUCAGAUGAGACCGCAGCCUAAGCAGAUACCUUGGUUGCAGCCAUGUGAGACAACCUGAAACAGAGGGCACAGCUAAGCCUCAGCCAGGUUCAUGACCCUCUGAGGAAACUGUGAGAAAGCAAAUGUCAUUUUAAGCUAUUUAAUUUUGGAGGUAGUUUAUUACACAACAAUAAAUAACUAUUAUAAUUAUCUUGAGGAUUUAUUUCCUGGGGAGAAUACAUGGAAUUGCAUAUAUAGGUCCUCAUAUGCAGAAUACUGGUACCCUAGAGAUGUUCACCCCAGAGAUGUUUUAGGAACCUGUGAAUAUGUUACAUUAAAUGGCAAAGUUUUCCUGGAUGGUUUAAGUUUAAGAUGGAAAAGUUUUACUGGAUUAUCCAGUGGGUCCAAUCUAGUAACAUGAGUCCUUAAAAAUGGAGAAUAUUUUUUGGCCAUGAUCAGAGAGACAUGUGAUGAUGGAAAAAGUGUCAGAGAUGCAAUGUGAGGGGACUAAAACUGCUGUUGCUGACUUUAAAGAUGGAGAGAGGGGAACCCGAGUCAAGGAAUGCAAAUGGCCUCUGGAAGCUGGAAAAAGCAAGAAAUGGAUUCUCCUUUAGAGCCUGUGGAAUAAAAUGCAGUCAUGCUGACACCUUGAUUUUACCUCAGUGAGACCAAUACUGGAGUAUGACCUUCGGAGCUGUAAGUUAAUAAAUUUCUGUU